UUUUUGUAAACACUGCACUCGCGCAACAAAAAAUGAGUUUCUACACAAGACUAUUAGAUUCGGACAAUAUUCACAACUUUCUAAUGGUUGGACCACCAGGAAGCGGGAAAACUCUAAUGCUUGAAAAAUGUUGUCGUGACCGAAGAUCUGUUUAUUUGACCACAAUUUACUGCAGUACAGAGACGAGUCCUCAACAUUUAAUUCUCCGCCUUUCUCAACUAUGCAUUAUGUUAACCACUGCGACAGGAAGAGUUUACAGACCAAAAGAUUGUGAAAGAAUUGUUUUAUAUCUAAAAAACAUUGAUUAUUGUAAACCAGAUAAAUGGGGAACGACUCAACUUGUUGCUUUUCUUCAACAAGUUUUGAGUUGCUAUAAAUUUAGAUUUUCACGUAUAACGGAUUUUACGACGAUAAUCUUGAAUUUGUUCUUUUUGAGGGAAUUCAAAUUGUGUGCGGAAUUAGUGACCAUGAUACUGGUCGGCAUGUGUUGUCAAGUCGAUUCACCUCUGAGAUUCCAGUGUGCUAUAUCGAACCGACAGAAGAAGAGGAAAUGAAAAAAAUAUUUUAUAAUUACGUUUUGAAUUUCAAACUUCCUGGCUUCUCUGGAUUGACUGAACACAAAAACGUGGAACUGAUAAAUUUCCUGGUUAAGUUUUUUGUUGAGUUGAGAAAAAAAAUUGACUUGGAUAAAAAUCCUCAAUGUAUAUUUAGUCCC